UACAGGGGGUGCAAACGUUGCUCGGAAUCAUUGGGCGUAAAGCGCACGUAGGUGGUCGAUUAAGUCGGAUGUGAAAGCCCUGGGCUCAACUCAGGAAGUGCAUCCGAAACUGAUUGGCUAGAGUACGAAAGAGGGUCGCGGAAUUCCCGGUGUAGAGGUGAAAUUCGUAGAUAUCGGGAGGAACACCAGCGGCGAAGGCGGCGACCUGGUUCGAUACUGACACUGAGGUGCGAAAGCGUGGGGAGCAAACAGG
rnacentral:rRNA from 1 species